rnacentral:lncRNA from 1 species
UCAAGUGUCAACAUAAGUUGAAGUGUUUUUGUAAAUGAUAAAAAAUACAUGAGAACUAAAAUGAUAACAACAUGUCAAUACUCAAAAGUUCACACAGAAAUGAAUACAAUAACUAGCUAUUAACUGAAAAAUGAAACUUAAAUUAGAGUUCACAUAAAGUACACAAAAAUAAAAAAUUAACUGGUUUUCUAUCAAUCAAGACUCAUGGUUCCAUGCUCAUCUUUAACUCUUUGAGUUAUGUGGACUGAAUAUAAUGAGUAUUGAUAGGUACUCAUUUAACUAUUCUUGAUAUAUAACUAUAAUGGACGGGUCGAGUGACCUGGACAUAUACCUGAACCCGUCCUUUUUUUAUGACGGGUAUGUCCCUUUUAAUCGGGUCUAUCCUUCUUUAUUUAUUUGGACGGGUCUACGGAUCAGGUUGGGUCUUGCUCACCCCUAGAAGGCACGACUAGAAGGAGCAUGUUGAUUUUCAAAUCCAUGUUAGAACACGACAAGGAAGACAAAGUGAAGUUGGACACUGCCUAGUCAAAUCUCCUAAGAUAACAUGAAUCUAAGGAAGAAGAUAAGGCAUGAGGGAGUGUGGCUACGAAGUGAUAAUCUACAGAACAAAUUGGCAUGUGAAGAUUAGAGGAAAAUUCGGCUACACAAAGAGAAUAAAGAUUUGAUUUAACAAGCACAUUAAAAAUAUAAGUAUGCCAUUCAAAUUUAAAUGAUUGCACGACCAAGCCAACCAACAAAUCCCAAGGCUUUUCAUAUCCAAAGAAGAUAAAUCAAAUCUCAACAACCUAAUUCAACCAAAGUGCCUCAAGGCUCACGGCCAACCCAUUUUUAAAUUAAAAGAUAGGCAAGUGGGUUUGACCAAGACUAAUUCAAAAUCUAUUCAAAUUAAUACAAGGCAAUUCGGCCAAGGCAAAUCACAAAUCAAGGCCAAGUCAAAAAUUUUGCCAACUGUGAAUAUUUUACCACCAAGUUUAAGAUAGGUUUUGAUUUUGAAUUCAAGUGUUAUUUUCUUAUCUUUCAUGGAAGCCUUCGAGCAUUCUUUCAAUAAAUGUAACCAUGGACAUCAUUUAAUAAACAAGUUGAAAUUAUUUGGAUUAUAUCUUUGUUAAUGGGUGUUUUCUUCUAACUUCUUAGUUUAGCCAAGACUUGUUCUUAUCAAGAGAGUCAAUCUCUUGUGAUGAAUUUCACCGGCUUAUCAAACAUCCUAUGUUUAUGGCUUUCCCCUCAUAUCCCCACCCACGUUCUAAGACACUUACCUACAAUCAACAUCACCAAAUCACCCACAAAUCAACUAAACUAUGACCUUACCACCCUUAUACCCUCAACCUGUGGCCAAUCCACAACCCUACUCACCUAAACACUUCACCCAUACACCAAUUGUGGCCUUCACACCCUUACCCCCUCAACUCGUGACCAAACCUCAAACAUAUAUCCGAACCGUGACCACCCCAACCCUAAACCGUGAGAUCAGAUCAAACCGAAUAGUCACCAAUAUUGUUUGAGAUAAUUGACAUAAAAGAGAUGUUUUGAGUAACUACAAAAGUACAUCAUACUCUGCUUUUGAUAAGAGCCGAGCAUUGUCAUUUCUAAUUCCAUUCAGAGACAACAGCACCUGCAGUUUGACAGAAAUAACAAAACUUCAACACCUUUUGGUACACAAAUACAAUAAUAUCAUACCCUACAAAGAUAACUAGAAUGGAACAGAGAAGCUGGAUGGAUGGUCUUCAAAAGAGAGAAAAAAAGCCUUUCAUGUUGCACUUAGCACAUGAUAGAGCUCAAUGGAGACACUGGGCAAGAGAGUCACUAGCCAAUCCUUCAAUUAAAAGUAUAUUAAUAUUAUACACUUAUAUUCAAUUUCAUGAGAAACAAGAGAGUUACAAUACACUAUAAUCAAUUUCAUGAGAAACAUCAUCAAUUUUAUUAGUAUCUAUAUAUUCAUGAAUCACAGACAGAGGAUUGAACGAAAAUGCAUAAAAGAUAGAAUAAGAUUAUUAAGGGUGACCUGAAAUUAAUAUUGACAGUCAAUGAAGAUAGGAAUUACAGGAUUCGUCUACAAGAGAAGCUACCAAAAUCCCAUUUUGAAUGAACUAGUUCAAUUUAAAGAGGAAAAAACUUCACGCUUCACAAAAUUGAAUGUUCUUAUUAACAGAGGACGCAAAUACCUAUUUUCAAUCAAACAUGUAAGACCUAAUUUCCUAAUUUCAAAAUAAAAAAUACACAAAGAGGGAGAGGAUAGAGAUUAGAGCGAGAGCAGAAGUAUUAACAGUGAGUGAUAGUACCUUCGACAGUGGAGAAGAACCUUCGAUGGUGGAACGUGAACCGUAGGGUUUGUGAAGCAAUCACUUUUGAACCGUAGGGAUUCUGAAGCAAAAAUGUGAUAUGUGAAUUUAAGACCUUUUCUUUAACAAAUAAGAACAUAUAUACUUACAAAGAAGAAUGGGAUUAAGGAUUUUAAUUUUUGAGGAAAAAAUCCAACAACUCCAUUAAUACCCAACAAUGCCUUAAACCCAUUUUUUAAAUAGAUCUGGAAUGAAAUUAGUGUGAGGUAUGGGCGGCGCUGUAAGCAACAGUAGUGCAAACCCUGACUCUAUUUCAAAGGAGGGAGAAGAUGAUACUCUAAUAUUAUAAGAGAUUUUAGGGUUUGAUUUUUAUAAAUUAAAUAUAAAGAGCUGAAACUAACAUUGCUUAAGAAUGAAAUGAGUUGAAACCAAAGGUCAUGCUUAAAAAAG